GCCUCCUUGAGCUUGGGUGGUCCUGAGUGCGGUCUUCAAAACCGUAGGUGCCGAGAGGCACAGAGGUUCAAUUCCUCCUGGGGGGCG